CAGCCGCCGCGGUAAUACGUAGGGUGCGAGCGUUAAUCGGAUUUACUGGGCGUAAAGCGUGCGCAGGCGGCCCGUUAAGACAGGUGUGAAAUCCCUGGGCUCAACCUAGGAAUUGCGCUUGUGACUGGCGGGCUCGAGUACGGUAGAGGGGGGUGGAAUUCCUGGUGUAGCAGUGAAAUGCGUAGGGAUCAGGAGGAACACCGAUGGCGAAGGCAGCCCCCUGGGCCUGUACUGACGCUCAUGCACGAAAGCGUGGGGAGCAAACAGGAUUAGAUACCCUGGUAGUCCACGCCCUAAACGAUGGGUACUAGCCGUUUGGUGCGCGAUAGCGCUGAGUGGCGAAGCUAACGCGUGAAGUACCCCGCCUGGGGAGUACGGCCGCAAGGUUGAAACUUAAAGGAAUUGGCGGG
rnacentral:rRNA from 1 species